UACGUAGGGGGCUAGCGUUGUCCGGAUUUAUUGGGCGUAAAGAGCUCGUAGGCGGUUUGUCGCGUCUGCCGUGAAAGUCCGGGGCUCAACUCCGGAUCUGCGGUGGGUACGGGCAGACUAGAGUGUGGUAGGGGAGACUGGAAUUCCUGGUGUAGCGGUGAAAUGCGCAGAUAUCAGGAGGAACACCGAUGGCGAAGGCAGGUCUCUGGGCCACUACUGACGCUGAGAAGCGAAAGCAUGGGGAGCGAACAGG
rnacentral:rRNA from 1 species